GUCGGUGUGGCUCAGUUGGUUAGAGCGUUGGUCUCAUAGUGAAAUCCUGUGAUUUGGCCCUAGGUCAGAGUAAUCCAAAGGUCGAGAGUUCGAGCCUCUCCACCGACA
rnacentral:tRNA from 1 species